GACGAACGCUGGCGGCGUGCUUAACACAUGCAAGUCGAACGGAAAGGCCCUGCUUUUGUGGGGUGCUCGAUUGGCGAACGGGUGAGUAACACGUGAGUAACCUGCCCUUGACUUUGGGAUAACUCCAGGAAACUGGGGCUAAUACCGGAUAGGAGCUCCUGCUGCAUGGGGGGGGUUGGAAAGUUUCGGCCGUUGGGGAUGUACUCGCUGCUUAUCAGCUUGUUGGUGGGGUAGUGGCUUACCAAGGGUUUGACGGGUAGCCGGCCUGGGAGGGUGACCGGCCACAUGGGGACUGAGGGACGGAGCAGACGCCUACGGGAGGCAGCAGGGGAGAGUAUUACGCAAUAGGCGGAAGCCUGAGGCAGAAACGCCGGGUGCGGGAUGACGGGCUUCGGGUGGAAAACAGAUUUCGCAUGUGACGAAGAGGGAGUGACGGUAAUGGGUAAAAAAGCACCGGCUAACUACGUG
rnacentral:rRNA from 1 species